rnacentral:lncRNA from 1 species
ACUCGCAUGCCGCAGGUCAUAAAGAUUAAACACGUGUUUGCCAUGCUUGCAUUAGGGAUAAGAUUAAACACGUGUUCGCCAUGCAUGCAUUGCUCAUACAUAUCUUAUUACUAAAUUAGGUGCAGGAAACGGUAGAGGCAGUAGCUGUAAUUUUACUGUGCGUAGGCAUAUUUCAAUGCAUUCUGUUGAUUCGGAGUGACUGCCUUGAGGCACGACCAUUGUGCUCGCACGCUGUGUUGCGUCUUCUUUAUUGAGCUGCACAUUCAGGAAGGAGUGUAGCGAGCAGUUGAAUUUUUCUGAAUUCAAUGACGCGUUGCUUGCGCUCAGCAAUAACGUGAUUUCACACGUCACGUAACCGUUUUACACAAACGUAUUGCGGUGAAGCCUGAUGCUGGGCUGCAUCUCUGUAGUUUGAGAAUGUCACAGCUCAGUUUUGGCACGCAGUCAUUAGUAAUUUCACCAAUACCCAAACAUAUGGCUGUUAUAAGGUGCACUCGCAAGCCUGAACCGCAGGUCACAUGCACCAAGCGUGUACAGGUGCGAUGAAGGGUG